rnacentral:rRNA from 1 species
UACGUAGGUGGCAAGCGUUGUCCGGAUUUACUGGGCGUAAAGAGCGCGCAGGCGGUCGUUCAAGUCGCGUGUGAAAGCCCCCGGCUCAACUGGGGAGGGUCACGCGAUACUGAUCGACUCGAAGGCAGGAGAGGGUAGUGGAAUUCCCGGUGUAGUGGUGAAAUGCGUAGAUAUCGGGGGGAAUACCAGUGGCGAAAGCGGCACCCUAGCGUUAGCCUGACGCUCAUGUGCGAAAGCGUGGGGAGCGAACGGG